CGAACGGAGAGUUUGAUCCUGGCUCAGGAUGAACGCUGGCGGCGUGCCUAACACAUGCAAGUCGAACGGUUAAGGCGCCUUC
rfam:Slackia piriformis YIT 12062 genomic scaffold supercont1.2, whole genome shotgun sequence.